CCUACGGGAGGCAGCAGUGAGGAAUAUUGGUCAAUGGGCGCGAGCCUGAACCAGCCAAGUAGCGUGAAGGAUGACUGCCCUACGGGUUGUAAACUUCUUUUAUAAAGGAAUAAAGUGAGGCACGUGUGCCGUUUUGUCUGUAUUUCAUGAAUAAGGAUCGGCCAACUCUGUGCCAGCAGCCGCGGUAAUACGGAGGUUCCGAGCGUUAUCCGGGUUUAUUGGGUUGAAAGGGAGCGUAGAUGGGUAGUUAAGUCAGUUGUGAAAGUUUGCGGCUCAACCGUAUAAUUGCAAUUGAUACUGGCAGUCUUGAGUGCAGUUGAGGUAGGCGGAAUUCGUGGUGUAGCGGUGAAAUGCUUAGAUAUCACGAAGAACUCCGAUUGCGAAGGCAGCUUACUAAACUGCCACUGACAUUGAUGCUCGAAAGUGUGGGUAUCAAACAGGAUUAGAUACCCUUGUAGUC
rnacentral:rRNA from 1 species